rnacentral:lncRNA from 1 species
AACAUGGGAGACUAUAAUUGUAGUGAGGGGUUUUAUGCCUAUGAAGUUGAGGGAGAUUGCAGAGGCUAUGAAAAUAGCCAUGAUCGAAACUUAGGCAGAUUUGAAAGUUACUAUUUUAAGGGAGAAAAUGAGGUGAAUGAAGGGCCUAGUGUUUAUGGUAACUUUGGAGAUGAUGUAGGACCUCGUGAUGGAUCUUAUGAUGAUGUUGGG